AGACCUAAUGGCAUUAGUAUCCCCGAUGGCAGGUUCUACCUAGGAGAUGCUGGCUAUGCAUGUCGGCCUGGUGUUCUUUUACCCAUCAGGAAAACUAGGUACCAUGUGAACGAGUCCUCUUCUAGGAAAAAUCCUAGGACUACGGAAUUGUUCAAUCUCAGAAACUCCAGCCUUAGAGUUACGGUUGAGAGGGAAUUUGGAGCUCUGAAGAAUCAAUUUAAGAUCCUAGAUCAGAAGCCAUUCCACCCUUCCUCAACUCAAUUUAGGCUUAUUCUUGCAUGUUGCAUUCUUUAUAACAGGAUCCUACAAUGGGUUUGUGAUGAGUUGGUGCCAGAUGAGGAAGAUGUGACGGCCGACGAUGAUGAUUCCAGUCAUGGUGUGGAGGCACAUGACAAGGAAGCUUGGAGGAGCAAAAGGUUGGAAUGGGAUGAGGCAAUGUGGGCAAACAGAGGUACCACAAGGAUCUGA
rnacentral:rRNA from 1 species